rnacentral:rRNA from 1 species
UACGAAGGGGGGCUAGCGUUGCUCGGAAUGACUGGGCGUAAAGGGCGCGUAGGCGGAUGGCUUUGUCGGGCGUGAAAUUCCAGGGCUUAACCUUGGGGCUGCGUUCGAGACGGGUGAUCUUGAGUGGGGAAGAGGGUCGUGGAAUUCCCAGUGUAGAGGUGAAAUUCGUAGAUAUUGGGAAGAACACCGGUGGCGAAGGCGGCGACCUGGUCCUUACUGACGCUGAGGCGCGAAAGCGUGGGGGAGCAAACAGG